CAGGCCUCAUACAUGCUGACCAGCAAGGAAAGUGAGCCACCCUGUUUGCACCUGGCUAUGUAGAAGCAAAAGGAUUCAGGACCUAAGUUCGAGGCCGAGCACCCAGGUCGGGUGGCUCACCACUUGCAGCUUCUUCUAGGCACAGACCUUUAAUCCCCACGCCAGGGAGGCAGAAGCAGGUAGAUUUCGUUCACCUGAAAGUGCUGUGGAGGGGCCACAUGGACAGAAGUGACAACAGGAAAAGGGUUCUGAGCAAACAGUAACCAAAAACUAAUUCAAAAUCAAACCUAAUGAAGGUUUUAAAAUUCAAAUGUGAUGAAUCUGAGGCAUUUGUGGCAGCGUUUGACUGUGUUUCGUCAUGGGAUUUCACUGCAGUCUUGGUUCUGAAUACAAUAUGUCACAUUGCCCGUUAGCACAGGCACCAGUUAAAUCAGCUCCGAUUUGGCACACUGUUGUCUUAAGAAUUGCAGUGCUCUGCUCCAUCUUCUCUGGAGGCUACGGCAGCUACAGAGGCUACAGAGGAGUGAUCUGCAAUCGAAACCUCCACCACUGUAGCUGAGUUGCACCGAGAAUGCCACUUGUGGUGGUGAAAGUCACAUGGGAUGCUGGGAUGAACCGGGAAGGUGACCUCGGGACAUACCCAUACCACAGAGGGAGCAGGUGUUUACUGAAAAUGGAGGAGACCUGGGACUUGGUAGCCGUGUGCCGCCCUAAACAGCAUCACAGUCAGGAGGGAGCCAAGAGCUUGGCUCAGUAGCCUCCCAGGAGUGGGUUGGGCUCAUGUCUUCACAAGUAUUUUUUCUUUUAAUAUUACAGUGUUUAAGUAGGCAUCAUGGUGCAUACCUUUAAUCCCAGCACUUGGGAGGCAGAGGCAGGCAGAUCUCUGUGAGUUGAAAGGCAGUCUGUUCUUUAUAAUGUAUUCUAGGACAGCCAAGGCUAUUACAUAGAGAAACCCUGUCUUGAAAAAACAAACAACAGCAAAAAAUAAACAAGACAAAAUUGCAAUGUUAAUUGUGACAUAUUUCCAAACAUACAGAAACUAACAAAGGGGGCCACCUAUAUACCAUGAAAGUGAAUCAGAUGUUGACACCCCCCAUGUGCUCCAGCUUACACUUUUGUUUCAUUUGUUUUUAUUUACUUAUUUUAAUUAUAUAUAUAUUUGGGGACACACACAUGUGUAAGGGGAUCAGAGCACAACUUGCAGGAGUCAGUUCUCUCCUUCAGCUUGUUUUCGGCAGGGUCUCUCUUGUGUGUGAUGCUGUGUGUACUCCAGGUUAGCUAGCCUACAAGCUUCUAGACAAUUCUGUCUCUGUCUCCUUUCUUGCUGUAGGAGUGAUGAAAUUACAGACAUGGGCCACUACAGCCAGUGGUUUUAUGUGGUCUCCAGGCUUAGAUCAAACUGGGGCCAUAAGCUUGAGUGGCUGGCACCUUCACCCACUGAGCCAUCUACCCAGCCCAUUCUGGUCAUUAUGUAGCCAUCUGGCCUCAGAUUCGCAAUUCUCCUGCCUCAGCUUGCUGGAUGCUGGAAGUCUGUGGGCCACUAUGCCUCAUUCACUCUCUACCUUUCUAAGAAGGCAAAGUACUAGAAACAAAGAAAAGGCCCACCUAUCCCUUCCCUGCCUUGUCCCCAAAGACAAGAGUGACCAUGUUUUCAUGCCUAUGCAGAUGUUUGGGUUUUGAUUUUGUUUUUUAACUGUGCAUGACUUGAAAGAAGGUAAUUGUACAAAUUUCAAUCAUACAGACUGAUGGAUUUUUUACAUAUAAAUAUUCACGUAUAUAUCUCCAAAAUAAAAUGUAUAACAUGUCUAG
ensembl:lncRNA